GAUGAAGAACGCAGCGAAAUGCGAUAAGUAAUGUGAAUUGCAGAAUUCAGUGAAUCAUCGAAUCUUUGAACGCACAUUGCGCCCGCCAGUAUUCUGGCGGGCAUGCCUGUUCGAGCGUCAUUUCAACCAUCAAGCCCCCGGCUUGUGUUGGGGACCUGCGGCUGCCGCAGGCCCUGAAAACCAGUGGCGGGCUCGCUAGUCACUCCGAGCGUAGUAAUACAUCUCGCUCAGGGCGUGCUGCGGGUUCCGGCCGUUAAAAAGCCUUAUUUACCCAAGGUUGACCUCGGAUCAGGUAGGAAGACCCGCUGAACUUAAGCAUAUAAUAAGCGGAGGA
rnacentral:misc_RNA from 1 species